ensembl:Mt_tRNA
CAUUAAGAAGCUAUGAAUCAGCAUUAGCCUUUUAAGCUAAAGAAAGAGGGCUACAUCCCUCCUUAAUGG